GUGAGUUAGGAAGGUGACUGGGCUCCUUAAGCUUCUGAGGCAGAGGAGUCAGCUGGGAAACGUUGCUUAGAUGCAGAUUCUGAUUCAGAAGCCAGGCUAGGCUCCAAAUUCCGAAAAUCAAGUAAAUCCCCGAGGUAACGUGGUAUUCUUAGUCCAAGAACUGUGCUUCGCUCUGGUUUGGUUUUAACUUUUUAAAAUUAGUCAUAUGUUGCUUCCUAUUACUGUGAGAAGCACCGAAUGUGACCUGGGGAGGAAAGGGUUUCUUUGGCUUAUUUGUCUCAACAGUUAAUCACGGAGAGAAGUCACAGCGGGAACUCAAGCAGGAACAGAGGCAGGACCCAAGGAAAACACUGCUAAAAUGGCUUGCUCCCCAUGACAUUUCUAGUGUAACUCCAGACCCGCUGUCUAGGGUGGCGCUACCACAGGCUGCUGGGUGCUCCCGCAGCAAUCAGUAAAGACAAUGCCCGCAGACACACCCAAUGGCCAAUCUGAUGGAGCAGUUCUUCAAUUAAGGUUCCCUCCUCCCCGGAAAAUAGAUGAAACUGGAGGUCAUCAGAUAAACAAAUAUUUUAUGUUUUCCCUCA